GACGAACGCUGGCGGCGUGCCUAAUACAUGCAAGUCGAGCGAAGCGGCGGAUGGGUGAGUAACGCGUGGGUAACCUGCCCUUAAGUCUGGGAUACCAUUUGGAAACAGAUGCUAAUACCGGAUACUAAAGGAUGGACUCGCGUCCUAUCAGCUUGUUGGUGGGGUAGUGGCCUACCAAGGCGACGACGGGUAGCCGGCCUGAGAGGGCGACCGGCCACAUUGGGACUGAGAUACGGCCCAAACUCCUACGGGAGGCAGCAGUGGGGAAUAUUGCACAAUGGGGGAAACCCUGAUUCAGCAACGCCGCGUGCGGGAUGACGGCCUUCGGGUUGUAAACCGCUUUCAGCCAUGACGCGGUAGUGGCAGAAGAAGCACCGGCUAACUACGUGCCAGCAGCCGCGGUAAUUC
rnacentral:rRNA from 1 species